rnacentral:rRNA from 1 species
UACGGAGGGGGCUAGCGUUGUUCGGAAUUACUGGGCGUAAAGCGCGCGUAGGCGGCUUUGUAAGUUAGAGGUGAAAGCCCGGAGCUUAACUCCGGAACUGCCUUUAAGACUGCAUCGCUAGAAUCGUGGAGAGGUGAGUGGAAUUCCGAGUGUAGAGGUGAAAUGCGUAGAUAUCCGGAGGAAUACCAAAGGCGAAGGCAGUGUCCUGGAGGGUGACUGACGCUGAGGCGCGAAAGCUAGGGGAGCGAACAGG